rnacentral:rRNA from 1 species
UGAGGAAUAUUGGGCAAUGGGCGCAAGCCUGACCCAGCCAUGCCGCGUGAAGGAUGAAGGCUCUACGAGUCGUAAACUUCUUUUAUAUGGGGCUAAAAUACGCUACGUGUAGCGAGCUGAAGGUACUAUAUGAAUAAGCAUCGGCUAACUCCGUGCCAGCAGCCGCGGUAAUACGGAGGAUGCAGGCGUUAUCCGGAUUUAUUAGGUUUAAAGGGUGCGUAGGCGGGGUAUCAAGUCAGUGGUGAAAUCCAACAGCUUAACUGUUGAACUGCCAUUGAAACUGGUAUCCUUGAAUGCGGUUGAGGUAGGCGGAAUGUGUAAUGUAGCGGUGAAAUGCUUAGAUAUUACACAGAACACCGAUUGCGAAGGCAGCUUACUAAGCCGUGAUUGACGCUGAGGCACGAAAGCGUGGGGAUCAAACAGG